rnacentral:rRNA from 1 species
CAAUAGCGUAUAUUAAAGUUGUUGCGGUUAAAAGCUCGUAGUUGGAUUUCUGUUGAGAGCAGCCGGUCCACCUUUUGGGUGAGUAUCUGGAUUGGUCUCGGCAUCCUCACAACGAAUGUUUCUGCGCUUGAUUGCGUGGUAUAGGCGUUGUGACUUUUACUUUGAGGAAAUUAGAGUGUUCACGGCAGGCAUACGCCUUGAAUAUAUUAGCAUGGAAUAAUAUUAUAGGACCUUUGUUCUAUUUUGUUGGUUUCUAGAGCGAAGGUAAUGAUUAAUAGGGAUAAUUGGGGGGCAUUUGUAUUAACGCGUCAGAGGUGGAAUUCUUGGAUUGCGUUACGACAAACUACUGCGAAAGCAUUUGCCAAGGAUGUUUUCAUUGAUCAAGAACGAAAGUUAGGGGAUCGAAGACGAUUAGAU